rnacentral:rRNA from 1 species
CCGGCCUAUCAGCUUGUUGGGUGAGGUAAUAGCUCACCAAGGCAACGACGGGUAGCGGGUGUGAGAGCACGACCCGCCUCACUGGGACUGAGACACUGCCCAGGCUCCUACGGGAGGCUGCAGUCAAGAAUCUUCCUCAAUGCGCGAAAGCGUGAAGGAGCAAUGCCGCGUGCAGGAUGAAGGCCCUAGGGUCGUAAACUGCUUUUCUGGGGGACGAAUUACUGACGAUACCCCAGGAAUAAGAGGUUGCUAACUCUGUGCCAGCAGCAGCGGUAAUACAGAGACCUCAAGCGUUAUCCGGAUUUAUUAGGCGUAAAGCGUCCGCAGGCGGUUUAGUAGGUCAAUGGUUAAAUUUUGGGGCUCAACUCCAAAACCGUCAUUGAAACCACUAAACUAGAGGCCGGAAGAGGCUAGCGGAAUUGCCGGUGUAGGAGUAAAAUCCGUUAAUAUCGGCAAGGACACCAAAUGCGAAGGCAGCUAGCUAGAACGGUCCUGACGCUCAGGGACGAAAGCGUGGGUAGCGGAUGGGAUUAGAUACCCCAGUAGUCCACGCUGUAAACGAUGGGCACUAGGCAUUGGAAGUAUCGACCCUUUCAGUGCCGCUUCUAAACAAGUUAACGCGUUAAGUGCCCCGCCUGGGGAGUACGG